GUGUCAUGGUCAUUGUUUUACCGUUCAUAUAACACCUACAAUUGCUUUGCAGCUUAUGUGGGGGUUAUAUAACGGUCAAAACAGACCUUUGACAU
rfam:Medicago truncatula strain A17 chromosome 3, whole genome shotgun sequence.